UCUGCCGGGUAGUGAUUUACCCCAUCAAUCAGUCUCUCCAUGGUCGUGCGCACUGCAUAGCCCAUCCUGUUCAUCUUCCUCCUUUUGCACCUCACUUCAUCUUCUAGAUCGUUAGCCCUAUCAUUGGCCCCUUCCCACUUCUCUUCGAAAUGGAUCCUAUCCAUUACCUCCAUCUCUAACUGAGUACGGAUAGCUUCCUUCUCUGUCCUCUCGCUCAACUCCCUCUGCUCCAUUUCUUCCAAUUUCCCUGCCAGUUCUACAUUCCUAGCCACCGCCCUGUGAAACAAAGCCCC
rnacentral:lncRNA from 1 species